UGGGGAAUAUUGCACAAUGGGCGCAAGCCUGAUGCAGCCAUGCCGCGUGUAUGAAGAAGGCCUUCGGGUUGUAAAGUACUUUCAGCGGGGAGGAAGGAGUUGUGGUUAAUAACCACAGCAAUUGACGUUACCCGCAGAAGAAGCACCGGCUAACUCCGUGCCAGCAGCCGCGGUAAUACGGAGGGUGCAAGCGUUAAUCGGAAUUACUGGGCGUAAAGCGCACGCAGGCGGUCUGUCAAGUCGGAUGUGAAAUCCCCGGGCUCAACCUGGGAACUGCAUCCGAAACUGGCAGGCUUGAGUCUUGUAGAGGGGGGUAGAAUUCCAGGUGUAGCGGUGAAAUGCGUAGAGAUCUGGAGGAAUACCGGUGGCGAAGGCGGCCCCCUGGACAAAGACUGACGCUCAGGUGCGAAAGCGUGGGGAGCAAACA
rnacentral:rRNA from 1 species